rnacentral:rRNA from 1 species
UACGAAGGGGGCGAGCGUUGUUCGGAAUUACUGGGCGUAAAGGGCGCGUAGGCGGCGACUCUAGUCAGAUGUGAAAGUCCUGGGCUUAACCUGGGGACUGCAUUUGAUACUGGGUUGCUUGAAUCCGGGAGAGGGAUGUGGAAUUCCAGGUGUAGCGGUGAAAUGCGUAGAUAUCUGGAGGAACACCGGUGGCGAAGGCGGCAUCCUGGACCGGUAUUGACGCUGAGGCGCGAAAGCUAGGGGAGCAAACGGG